rnacentral:rRNA from 1 species
CCUACGGGAGGCAGCAGUAGGGAAUCUUCCGCAAUGGACGAAAGUCUGACGGAGCAACGCCGCGUGAGCGAAGAAGGCCUUCGGGUCGUAAAGCUCUGUUGUUAGGGAAGAACAAGUACGAGAGUAACUGCUCGUACCUUGACGGUACCUAACCAGAAAGCCACGGCUAACUACGUGCCAGCAGCCGCGGUAAUACGUAGGUGGCAAGCGUUGUCCGGAAUUAUUGGGCGUAAAGCGCGCGCAGGCGGUCCUUUAAGUCUGAUGUGAAAGCCCACGGCUCAACCGUGGAGGGUCAUUGGAAACUGGGGGACUUGAGUACUGAAGAGGAAAGUGGAAUUCCACGUGUAGCGGUGAAAUGCGUAGAGAUGUGGAGGAACACCAGUGGCGAAGGCGACUUUCUGGUCAGUAACUGACGCUGAGGCGCGAAAGCGUGGGGAGCAAACAGGAUUAGAUACCCUGGUAGUCCACGCCGUAAACGAUGAGUGCUAAGUGUUAGGGGGUUUCCGCCCCUUAGUGCUGCAGCUAACGCAUUAAGCACUCCGCCUGGGGAGUACGGCCGCAAGGCUGAAACUCAAAGGAAUUGACGG